CCUUUCCUUGUCUCGGGGUGGCACGGGAGACUCAAUGAACGCCUCGUGAGAGCCCCCCUGCUGACACCAUAUCGACACAUACGCGUCACCCGAGCUCACGCGAGGGCUAUGACGCAAUUUUUGGAAAA
ensembl:snRNA